rnacentral:rRNA from 1 species
AGAAGUAUCACGUAUGACCAUAACCAACUGCAAACUCGGGAUCCCGUCCGCUCUCCCCUAGAUAAGCAGUUGAGGUGUUGUAUGUUUCAAAG